GUAGUGCUUCUGAGCUGAAGACGAAGUUAGAAGACCAAGGCUCAGACCCCAGUUGAGUUUUGCCUGUGGAGUGGAGCUGAAGCCCCGCUAGGAUCGCCUUUUUCCGCUACUGUCGUUCUCUUUUGGUGUGAGGCCUAAGUGCCUCUUCUGUAAGUAUUUUACGCUUUAUUUACAUUUGGAUCUGUUUAUUACUUGUCGUUUUGUGUACCCUGGCUGGUCCUGGACAGGGAUUUAAUACACAAAAUAGUCUGGAAAUUUGGGCUAAAUUUCUGGGCGUGACACCUACCUUCACGAAAUGAUGAUAACGACGAGUCCAUUGCUUCUCUUGAUGAUGAAAAUCAAACAAAUCUUUUUCCUCGUGCUGGAAAACCUCUUGGCAAGCCUAGAAGUUAUGUGUUAUAAGGGGUUUGGCUAAAAUCCAGGCACAUAGAUAUGUGCCUUUCGAUUGCCCAGAUGUCAAUCCAUACCUUCUAAUGCAUGCUGAGGAGAUUACAAAAACAUAUCGGCGCGGCCGUAUCACCCCAAAUAUUAUCGAGCGUACACAAAAUGAGAAGGAGGCUCCCUCCAGGGCCAAAGGGCCAAAAGGCUCCCUCCGGUGGAACAGCAGUCAGGAAGGGAGUUACAAUCUGUUUUGUUCAGGAGGCAAGGGUAGCUCUUCCACGGCGGUCGGGCAGGUAGUCUCGGCGGUUCUGAUGGCUUCUGUGGAGGCCUUUGUGGGGAGCAGCGAAGCAGCCGUUGGGCUUCUCGUUCCGGCUGGUGAGUGGCCAAGAUUUGUCUCUUGGAUCUCAGCUAGUCCACACAGUGAGCUGAUGUUGUUGCUCUGAUUUAUGUUUACAUGUGGUUCGGUGGUGGAAUAUGUACAUGUGUUUCUUUUGCCUGUUGGUUCCCAUCUAGGCGUGCUUUUUUUUUUUGAAACGUGUUGUUUAUGUGAUUAAUUAACAUGAGAAGGAUCUGUUAGAAACUAGAGGAAAAAACUAUGGCAGAAGAACGAAGUAUAGGAGCUCGAGAAAACAUGCAUAGUAGUAGUCCCGAACCA